rnacentral:rRNA from 1 species
CCGACGGUGAGAGGCGAAAGCGUGGGUAGCAAACAGGAUUAGAUACCCUGGUAGUCCACGCCGUAAACGAUGAUAACUAGCCGUUGGGGGGAUUUACCCCUUAGUGGCGAAGCUAACGCGUUAAGUUAUCCGCCUGGGGAGUACGGCCGCAAGGUUAAAACUCAAAGGAAUUGACGGGGACCCGCACAAGCGGUGGAGCAUGUGGUUUAAUUCGAUGCAACGCGAAGAACCUUACCUGGUCUUGACAUCCUGAGAACUUUCUAGAAAUAGAUUGGUGCCUUCGGGAACUCAGUGACAGGUGCUGCAUGGCUGUCGUCAGCUCGUGUCGUGAGAUGUUGGGUUAAGUCCCGUAACGAGCGCAACCCCUAUCCUUAUUUGCCAGCACAUCAUGGUGGGAACUAUAAGGAGACUGCCGGUGAUAAACCGGAGGAAGGCGGGGACGACGUCAAGUCAUCAUGGCCCUUACGACCAGGGCUACACACGUGCUACAAUGGGAAGGACAAAGAGCCGCGAAGCCGCGAGGUGUAGCUAAUCUCAGAAACCUUUUCGUAGUCCGGAUUGGAGUCUGCAACUCGACUCCAUGAAGUCGGAAUCGCUAGUAAUCGUAGAUCAGAAUGCUACGGUGAAUACGUUCCCGGGUCUUGCACACACCGCCCGU